rnacentral:rRNA from 1 species
CCUACGGGUGGCAGCAGUGGGGAAUAUUGCACAAUGGGGGAAACCCUGAUGCAGCGACGCCGCGUGAGUGAUGAAGUAAUUCGUUAUGUAAAGCUCUUUCAGCAGGGAAGAAAAUGACGGUACGUGAGUAAGAAGCCCCGGCUAACUACGUGCCAGCAGCCGCGGUAUUACGUAGGGGGCACGCGUUAUCCGGAUUUACUGGGUGUAAAGGGCGCGUAGACGGCAGUGCAAGUCUGGAGUGAAAGGCGGUGGCUCAACCCUCGGACUGCUCUGGAAACUGUACGGCUGGAGUGCAGGAGAGGUUAGUGGAAUUCCUAGUGUAGCGGUGAAAUGCGUAGAUAUUAGGAGGAACACCAGUGGCGAAGGCGGCUUACUGGACUGUAACUGACGUUGAGGCUCGAAAGCGUGGGGAGCAAACAGGAUUAGAUACCCGAGUAGUC